AGCUUCUCUGUUAUUCAGGUCAUGGAACUCAGAGUCCCGCCUCCCUGUAGCUUGUUUGCAGGAUAUUUUGUCGAACCUGUUAUUCAAAGUUUUGUCGUUUGGUUGCCUCCUCGAUUGCGACGUCUAAAAGCAAUCAGCAGGAAGGCCUGAUUCAUGCUGCUGUCAAGAUCCUAAUUCACACCUCACAGCUAUUUAAGGGUCAGGAGGUGGCGGAGCACGUCCCAGCCUCGGUCGGACAGAAGGCUGGAAAAUGCCCCCUGACAAGAAAACCUGUUCGAGUGGACUAACACGCAUAAACCCUCGCGUGUGCUCACAUACGCAUCUGUGGACAUUCUGUCGUCAACAAUCAACCUAACAUGCAUGAAUUUGAACCAUGGCAGGUAACUGGGGCAGCCGGAGGAAUCCCAGGAGUGUGGAUUCCACUUGCUCUUUGCACCGGUUUUAAACGCUGAGCCAAAAUGCUGCAAGAUACAAACACUGUUUUUUAAUGAACAAAUGCUUCAUUAUACUCAGGAUUCGUUAAUGCAAUUUCAUUUUCAAUCAUACGGGAAAAAGGC
ensembl:lncRNA